UUGUUCACCAUUCUAAGCACGAGACCCUACCCUACAGACUUAGGAACUAACGUUCGUUAUAUUCUUUCCAGUCUGUUAUGUACAUUUUCGGGUGUUUUACAACUUGUCCACGGCUAGCGAAGAUCCUGACUUUUGUCUGUAUUGUUGUCAGGGGCAACAAAUAAACGGUUGCAGAGAUAGCCAACUACUGUACAACAGUACAGUUUUAUUUCACCAAAAACACAACGCAGAGAGUUUACC